CUUCUGAUGUUUUUUGAGGUCUUGAUUAAUGAGCAUCACCUGAAGGUCUUGUUUGUCCUAUUUAUCAUCUGCUGGCCACUGCAGCACUCCUAGUGAUGGUCUAUGAAGAAACUUGGUGGGAUCUCUUUGCCCAUUGCAGGGCUCUUGCAUUAUUCAGAAAGGUGCUUCUGCUAUCUGAAGAGUAAUUGAGGCAAUCAGGUGCUGUCUUCCAGAGCAACUGCUGGUGGAAACCAUGAGGAUGAGAAAACUCUCAUCUUGGAAAGCCCACAUAUUUUUGUGUGCAAAAUAAGUUUUCCUUAUAUAAAUCUGCAAGAUACAAUGAGUGAAGACAGAAGGAGGAGUAAGCAGGAGGGGAAGCAAACUGAAAGAAAACUGGUGACGGGCUGAAGAGAGGAGGGAGGGACGGCAUGGCAUGGAGCAGGCCAAGCAGAGGCUGCUCAGAGUAAACUCUUCACCUACAUUUCUGACCUACCCUCCUGCUGAAUCACAGGAUUGGAUUUUCAAUUUAGGCAUGACCUGUGGAAAAAUAGUAAUGUGAAUAGCUGGCUGAUUGCUAUCAGAUAGCAAUAGACUCCAUUCACUUAAAAGUCCAGAUGCACUGCUAGGGUAGUGCAAGGGUCAAUCAUCAGUUAUACAAAUCCCAAGCAACUGAAGCAAAUAAGCAGGCUGAUGGAUAGAAACUCUCUUGUUUUCUGCUAGAUCUAGGAAACCAUUAUGUUGGCAAAAAAAAAAAGGGCAGAUAUUGAAAUUGCCUAUGUUCCAGGGCUCAGCCACAUACAUCCUCACAUGUUGCCUCAUGCAAGUAACUCUCUGAUAAAGUUCAUUGCCUUGUUCCAAAUGAAGUUCAUUCAAAUAAAAGUACUUUUAAAUUUCACAUUCUGCACACAUGUGGAUCACAAAUGCAGGUGGUAUUAUGGACAGAAUUGGGUGGCCUGAUCUGCAUGUUAUGAUUUCUUCUCCUUCCUCCUGGAAAGAUGAGAAAUAAUCACAAAUUCUUGGUCUACUGGAAGAGCAGGCUGACCCAAGCUUUCUCUUGUGGUAACACAUCUUCCCUUUUCUUGUUGGAAAGUUCAAUGCAUGUUUCCAUUCUUUUCUACUGAGUUCCCAGAAGAGCUGAGGCUGUCCCUCAUCAACGCAGAGAUGAGAACAAUGCAGACGGUGCCUGCAGGAUGCUCCUUGCCCUCUAGAGACCCUCAUGAGAAGCUCAGGCCCCCAGGGGAGUUGGCGAGAAGGUGGCAAUCUGCAAUACCUCACACCUGCACCACAGGAGACCUACCUUCAAUUUUUAAGGAACUAUGAUCCACCUCAGAGGAUCUUGUAUGUUAACAUGUUGCCUACAGAUCGUGAGUGGGGCUGAAAGGUUCUGUAUGGGGGAUCAAUACAGUCAGUCUGUUGGAAAGCUUUUGGCCUUUGUGAUACUGCUGUUGACUCGUAUGGGAAAGACUCUCUUCAUCUCCAAGAGUAUCACCUCACAUGGUUAAACCUCAUGGCUGUAGCAGAGAACAUGACUAAUUAUUGAAUUGGAGACUGAUUGAUGCACGAAAGACUCUGCAGUAGUGGGGACCUGGAUGGUGGUUCAGGCAGUCUUCCCUUUUUUGUUUCUACUGCCAGCAGCAGAGUUUCACAGCUAAUGCCCUUGCUCAGGAGCAGAGAGGAGGCUUUGAAGCACCCACUCUGAUCUCUGCAGGGGAGAUGGGAGCCUUCUGAGAGCUCAGAGCAGAGAUACCCUUUGGGCUCAGGCUGCUUCACCUCCUUAGAAAGAAGUGUAACUCAAUUCCCACACAGCUUUUAGCACAGGUCAUCUGAAAAUGCCCACACAUUGCAGAAUACGCUGUCAAAAAUAAUGAUGAAUUGCAUGCUGCACUUGUUAUACGUGAAGAAAUUGAACUCAGUAUUUCACCCAGCAAUCCUCAAAGUAUCCCUAGAUCAUAAUAUUCAGUUUAUAUUUAUUGCUUUUUCACCCCACAUUGCUUUGCUAUUCCAGGUGUGCUGGCAUACUCUACUCUAAAUUCUCUUUUCCCCUUAUGACUAAUCAGUGAUGAAGGCAUCUUUGUAAUCAUGAGGGAAGAAGUAGUUCCAUAUUGAAAAGGCUCUUGCUAAAUGAGGCAGAAAGGAAAACAAUACCUCAACAUUUCUUAUCUAUUAUUCCCCUGCAUUCAUGCAAUGCAAGCAAUUCAAAUAAUAUCCAAUUGUGUCAUUCCUGUUAAAAGAUGCAGCACUAUCUAGCUUGAAGGGAAAGCUCUUUUCCUUACAAAGACUUCUCUUUUUAUGGGAAAUUUGAUAUCAAGGUCUAAUCCUGUUUCUGACUCGGCUUCAGAUAUGAAACUGAGUCUACUUAAAGUUGCAAAAUAAUUUCAGAUUCAACCACUCAUUAAAGAUCUGCAGCAGACCCUGAUGAUUUUUCUUCCCGUAGAACACCAUUGUAAUCGAUAAAGAUUUUUCUGAAUAAAUGGAGAAAGAAAGGAUCUGUAAUGAAGGUCCAAUAAAAGUCAAGGUAGGAGAAAUGAAAAAUAGAUGGUUAAAACCCAGGAAGCAAUGGAACUUCAAAUUGGAAGUUAGGCUGAUGUGGAAAUUUAAGCAGGAUUAGCAUCAGGCUUAAUUGUCAUUAAUACAAUACUUAGAUUUUAUUUUCUAUUCCUGUGUCAUCCUUAUUUUGUAGUCAGAUUAAACUUUCAAGCCUUUGUCACAAGAGGAGCUGUUGCAAUGACUGAGUCUAGAGCCCUGAGGAUGACGUCUCCCUCUUCACUACUAAUUGCUCCCAUUUUGCAGAUGACCUUGGAGAUCUACCAUCAUUCUAUCAGCAGCUUCUCGUGCAGGACAGGGACAGCUGGUGGGGCAAGUGAAGGUGCCCCAGACCUGAACAUGUGCUGUGAGAUGGUGAAAGCUUUGUCCCACUUCCCAGCCCUUCUCAGACAGCCAGGUGGCAGCCUUCUGCCUGUCAGCCUUGCACAGCUCAGCCUCACACCUUACCAGAGCGCUGAAUCAAAGCACUAAGGCCUACAGUUAAUAUUUUCACCAAAUCUAUGAACUGUGUGCUGUUCUGUAUAUCAUCCACAAGUGGCACAUUGUGAAAGAGUCACUACCUAGG
ensembl:lncRNA